rfam:Equus caballus chromosome 14, whole genome shotgun sequence.
UGUGUGGUAUAAGUAUGUCCCAUGCAAUAUUUGGGACAUACUUAUACUAAAU